UAAAGUGCUCUUUUAGCAAUUUAAUUUUUAGUUUGUUCAAGUGCUACACAAGAGGAGGUUCCUGUUGAGAAGAGAAGGUCGCUUCUGUUGAGAGCACAAGAGGAAGCUCGGAAUCUCGGCUCUGCCUCUGCCCUCCGACCCUCUACUCAAUUCCUCCUUGCGGUUAGUUUUUAUUUUUUGAAUUAAUCAUAGAUAUGUCAUCUUUUGAGGAAAGUCAGUUUGGCAUUUCUGUUUCUGAGGGAGAAGAAACUAAUCCCCAACCCCAUGUUCCUAGUUCCUCUAGAACUGGUGAACCGAGUGAAGAUCAAACCUCUUCUCGUAAGAGGACUAGUGUUGUAUAGAAUGAAUUUGAUAGAGUUAUGGUUGAUGGAGUCUGGAAAGCUAGAUGUAAAAAAUGUGCCAAACUUUAUAGUUGUAGUAGUAGUGGGGGAACAGGGCAUUUAAAAAGACAUCAAGAGAGUCAUAGAAUGCAUGAUUCUCAUGCUCAAACUCAAAGUACCCUUAAUAUGCAAGGGGGAUUACUUGUAGGUAAUUUUGCAUAUAAUCAUGAAAAUCAAAGAAAAGCACUUGUAAAAUGAAUAGUUAAGGAUGAAUUACCUUUUAGUUAUGUGAAU
rnacentral:lncRNA from 1 species